GAUGAACGCUGGCGGCGUGCCUAAUACAUGCCAGUCGAGCGAACAGACGAGGAGCUUGCUCCUCUGACGUUAGCGGCGGACGGGUGAGUAACACGUGGAUAACCUACCUAUAAGACUUGGAUAACUUCGGGAAACCGGAGCUAAUACCGGAUAAUAUAUUGAACCGCAUGGUUCAAUAGUGAAAGACGGUUUUGCUGUCACUUAUAGAUGGAUCCGCGCCGCAUUAGCUAGUUGGUAAGGUAACGGCUUACCAAGGCAACGAUGCGUAGCCGACCUGAGAGGGUGAUCGGCCACACUGGAACUGAGACACGGUCCAGACUCCUACGGGAGGCAGCAGUAGGGAAUCUUCCGCAAUGGGCGAAAGCUUGACGGAGCAACGCCGCGUGAGUGAUGAAGGUCUUCGGAUCGUAAAACUCUGUUAUUAGGGAAGAACAAAUGUGUAAGUAACUAUGCACGUCUUGACGGUACCUAAUCAGAAAGCCACGGCUAACUACGUG
rnacentral:rRNA from 1 species